rnacentral:lncRNA from 1 species
UGGCCUAUGAUGAUUAAUAGUUUUGCCUACAUUGGCUGAUUGUUUACAAUGAAGAGAAACCUACAGAUUUCUGAGGCCAAUUCAGCAUUUAGUUAAACUAGAUAUCAGAUGCGUUUGAUUUGUAAAUUGUGUUUUCUAUUUUUUAUUAUUGGUGUGGCCGUUGAUGAAUAAAGUUUUGCCUACAUUGUCCGAUUGUUAUUUGUGACGAGAAGACUGAAGUUUCUGAGGCCUUU